CAGCUCAGGGCGGCUGAGCGGGGAUCUGCGUGCUCUGGGCUGGCUAACGCGACAAGCACAGCCGUCAGCGCGGCCAUGAUGCGAUUACACGGCUAAUCAGCUCAGCGCAUCCUCCACCACCCGCAGCCCCCGCCUCGCUGAGGGGUCUGCGUGGCCUGUGCCCAGGAUUUCACCCCUAAUGAGCGGGGCUCUGCUCUCCUGGAGGCAGCCCCGAGGGAGGCCCGUGACCCAGCUGCUCUGGUGACUGAGGUGUGGGUCGAGUGGCCGGGGGCCUCUGCCCAUCGCCCUGCCGGCUGGGAGGCGGUCCCAGGCCUGUUCCAGGCUGCCUGUGGAGAAAGGCAGCGCUCUUGGUUUCCGUGGUGAUGGCCUGCAAACGCCCUCCCGGGCUCCGGGCACCUGCCUGGAGGGGGUGGGGUCUGGUAGCUGAGAGGGAUGAGGGGGGAAGCUCUGCUUCCCCUCCCCCAGGGCCCCGCCGCGCGUCUGAUUGGCAGCAGGAGCUCACGGUCUGAAAUGCGCCAGCGCCCGGCUCUGACCUGGGAAGCAUCGAAGGAUGAGGCCUGGGCUGGACUCCACUACUGCACGAAGUGGACAGAACCCUGCCCCAAUCCUGCCCCCACCUCAAUUUGCAGAGUGACCUUGGAAGGACUGUGGUGGCAACUACCAGGAACAGAAAGCCAGACCAACAUGCUACCCAAAGUGGGAUCCGGCUGCUCGCCGAUCUAAAGCCAAUCCUCGAGAGGCAAAGCUGGUUGAAAGGAAAAUUUGCUUUAUUCCGGAGGCCGGCAACAAGAGGGGAAGGAGGACUUGUAUCCAAAGGCCAAGUCCCCCCUGAAGAUCAGUGGGCAAGAGGUUGUUUUUUUUUUUUGCGGUACGCGGGCCUCCCACUGUUGUGGCCUCUCCCGUUGCGGAGCACAGGCUCUGGACACGCAGGCCCAGCGGCCAUGGCUCACGGGCCCAGCCGCUCCGCGGCAUGUGGGAUCUUCCCUGACCGGGGCACGAACCCGCGUCCCCUGCAUCGGCAGGCGGACUCUCACCCACUGCACCACCAGGGAAGCCCCGGGCAGAGCUUUUAAAGGGGAGUUUCAGGGGUGUAUAAGGGGAGGGAGGGGGCUGCAUGCAGAACAGCACAGUCAGCUCUGACAGUCACCUUGAAAUCGGUCAUCGGUGGUCUGACCAGCGUCAUCUUGAUUGUUUAAGUGCAGUUAGUCUUCAGGUCCAGGGUCGGUUUGUUCCCAUUUCUUUGAGACCAGCUCUCGAAAUUGUGGCAGCUUAUGUCAUGGCUAGAGGCUGACCAUCGUGCAGUUAACUUCUUCCUGGUGGCGGUUUCGGCAUCUACAAAACAGCUCACAGGACGUGGCUCAGAGCAGUAUCUCCAGCCCUUGAGGAGGAUCUAAAAGUCCUUGACUCUGCUCUGAACUAUUAUUAUUCUGUCCUGUCUGACUGUUUUCCUUUGCUUCUGCAUUUUCCCACUUCGCUGAUUAAACUUAUUCUUUGUCUAAAGUUUUUCUACAGACAAAAGG